GAUGAACGCUGGCGGCGUGCCUAAUACAUGCAAGUCGAGCGCAGCGGGGACGGGUGCGUAACACGUGGAUAACCUCCUUUACGAAUGGAAUAACUUCGGGAAACCGGUGCUAAACCGGCUACUUAUAGUUGGCUCCUCGCUGCAUUAGCUAGUUGGUAAGGUAACGGCUUACCAAGGCCACGAUGCAUAGCCGACCUGAGAGGGUGAUCGGCCACACUGGAACUGAGACACGGUCCAGACUCCUACGGGAGGCAGCAGUAGGGAAUCUUCCGCAAUGGGCGAAAGCCUGACGGAGCAACGCCGCGUGAGUGAUGAAGGUCUUCGGAUCGUAAAACUCUGUUAUUAGGGAAGCGGUACCUAACCAGAAAGCCACGGCUAACUACGUGCCAGCAGCCGCGGUAAUAC
rnacentral:rRNA from 1 species